rnacentral:rRNA from 1 species
UACGAAGGGUGCAAGCGUUACUCGGAAUUACUGGGCGUAAAGGGUGCGUAGGUGGUUUUUAAGUCCGUUGUGAAAUCCCUGGGCUCAACCUGGGAAUGGCAGUGGAUACUGGAAAGCUAGAGUGCGGUAGAGGGUAGUGGAAUUCCUGGUGUAGCGGUGAAAUGCGCAGAUAUCAGGAGGAACACCAAUUGCGAAGGCAGCUCGCUGGAACGUAACUGACGCUGAGACGCGAAAGCGUGGGGAGCAAACAGG